AUGCAGGUACUGUGACAAUAUGACUGAAGUGAUUUGUUGUCAUUCCCCCUGCUUAAAGUACUUGAUACAUAAUUAUCUCUCACUCCAUUCCACAGUAAGACAGAAAUGCUCAGUUUCAUUUUU
ensembl:snoRNA SNORA63 Small nucleolar RNA SNORA63